CUAUAGAGAGGAAAGGAACAGAAAUGCAGACUGUCCUGUGUGUAGUGCCAAUUUGAACAAGCUAGGAAAACGCCUACCCUAUGCACAUUGUGCCAAUUCAAAAUUGAUCUGUUCAAUAUCGGGCCUUCCACUUAAUGAAAACAAUCCUCCAAUGGCAUUACCUAAUGGGCAUGUAUAUGGUUACAACUCGCUCUCUGAUUUAGCCCGCUUAAAUGAGGGAAGGGUGGUUUGUCCAAGGACCAGAGAGAUUUUCCACCUAGACGAGGCAGAGAAAGUGUUUGUUAUGUAAUGGUUAAACAGAAGAAAAAAGACAUAUCCAUUAGAAUUAUAUACCUAUAUGCUGUACUUAUGUUCAAUCUUUCCGUGCUAUUAUGCAAAAACUACACAGUGAUAUCUGUAUGAGCCAAAUUACUCCAAGAUGUACCCUGAUAGUUAUGAGCAUGUAUAAAUGCAACAAGAAAUUUUAAAAAAAAAAAUAUCUAUAUGAAUUUUCUUAAUGUACAAUACAUGGUUGAAACCAUUAAUUAACUUUCAUGAAUGUUUUCAUAAGAAUGCUGGGAGUAAUUUUCAAUGGAGUCUGCUUGUAAUUAACCCAUCAUGUAAAUAAAUUCCUUGAUUAAAUUGAA